GAUGAACGCUGGCGGCGUGCCUAAUACAUGCAAGUCGAGCGAACAGACGAGGAGCUUGCUCCUUCGACGUUAGCGGCGGACGGGUGAGUAACACGUAGGUAACCUACCUAUAAGACUGGGAUAACUUCGGGAAACCGGGGCUAAUACCGGAUAAUAUUUCGAACCGCAUGGUUCGAUAGUGAAAGAUGGCUUUGCUAUCACUUAUAGAUGGACCUGCGCCGUAUUAGCUAGUUGGUAAGGUAACGGCUUACCAAGGCAACGAUACGUAGCCGACCUGAGAGGGUGAUCGGCCACACUGGAACUGAGACACGGUCCAGACUCCUACGGGAGGCAGCAGUAGGGAAUCUUCCGCAAUGGGCGAAAGCCUGACGGAGCAACGCCGCGUGAGUGAUGAAGGUCUUCGGAUCGUAAAACUCUGUUAUUAGGGAAGAACAAACGUGUAAGUAACUGUGCACGUCUUGACGGUACCUAAUCAGAAAGCCACGGCUAACUACGUG
rnacentral:rRNA from 1 species